rnacentral:tRNA from 1 species
UGUAGUUUAGUCAGUGGUACCACACUUGCCUAGCAUGCAGGAGACCCUGGGUUUAAUCCCCAGUACUGCAA